UACGUAGGGUGCGAGCGUUUAAUCGGAAUUACUGGGCGUAAAGCGUGCGCAGGCGGCUUACUAAGACAGGUGUGAAAGCCCCGAGCUUAACUUGGGAAUGGCGCUUGUGACUGGUAGGCUGGAGUGUGGCAGAGGGAGGUGGAAUUCCACGUGUAGCAGUGAAAUGCGUAGAGAUGUGGAGGAACACCGAUGGCGAAGGCAGCCUCCUGGGCCAGCACUGACGCUCAUGCACGAAAGCGUGGGGAGCAAACAGG
rnacentral:rRNA from 1 species